UAUAAAACAGGUCCGGGGGACAUUUUCUGCAGACUACACGCAUGGCAGCGUGGCUUUACUAUGGCUCAUGCUCCACCACGUUAUGUUAAACUUAACUUUAAUAUUGUCUUGCUUUGUUUUUUUUUUUUUUUCCUCCGACUAUUAAUAUUGUUAUACUUUAGCCUAAACUGCUUCGAGGCGCGUGGCGUUUUUAAUGUUUAGAGAACAGUGCGUGUCUGAUCCAUGUGACCAGGCCGCAGCUCGAGGGUAAUGUAAACCUACGGCUUUAUUAAGUAUUAUAAUUGGGAUAUUGGCUUCAUAGUGACGAAAGAGGUUCAGUUUCAUUUUUCGUUAUCUGUAAUAGUAUUUUUUUUAUUUAUUUUUUUGAUCACGCGGAUUAAGAAUAACGUGGCCAGUUGCGGAUCCAUGUGCACAGCAUGCGUUUUGCAGCAGAAAUUAUUUAUUGUUUUAUUCAGUGCUUGAGUUAUUAAGAAUGAAUUGGUUGUAGAUGAGCUAAUCUGGAUUAACUAACUUUUGUCUGUUUUAUUCCUUCCUUUUAUGAUUUACCAAUACGUCUUCUAUGGAGAGGUGGAUCUUGCUCUGCACUUUCAGAACUACACCAUGAAGACAACCUCAUUGUGUGAGAAUUCCUCAUUUCACAGCACUGUGAGUAUCUUAUGUGUAAUUUGUAACAAUGAGUCAUCAUGAAUGAUGAUUAUGAUGCGUUAGACUUCUGAAAAAUUGUGUAGAAAAUCUUAAACUGACAUGAAACUGGCUAACUAAAGCAGUUUAUUGUCCUUUAUUUCUUACUCUUAACAUUUAUGAUUUUUUUUUUUUCUCACCCCCCCCUCCCCACAGGGAUCGGACUAUGAUGCCCCAGAGAUGAACAGGUGCUUUUGUAUAUCAAGUGAUAACCUGAAUUAUUGAUAAUAAAUGUUUCAUUACCU
rnacentral:lncRNA from 1 species